rnacentral:lncRNA from 1 species
CGAAGACUGCUUCAAUCUCAUUUCCGUCGAAGACUCUGUUUGAAAAUUAGAAUUUGUCGGCGAAGAAUUACUGAUGUUGCUUCAACCUCACCGCCGCUGCUGAGCAACUUGAAUUUUCGUGAAUUCUGUCAAGCCUCCUUGGAUCUCAAAUUCAAGUUGCACAAACUUUGGACAUCAAUGGAAAACUCUGUCGCAUGCUACAAUUCCAAGAAAAACUACUUUAUAAGUAAGGAAAGUUGCAAUCUUUAUCUAUUUAGAAGUUUCAAAAGGAGUGAAUUCUACGGUUUUUUAAAAUAGAAGCUAAAAGAGCUAGAAUAUAAUUAAAUAUAAAUUACAAAAAAUAGAUUUUUUGAAGGGCAUGUGAGGGUAUUAUGGUAAUAGGAAUAGUAGCGUUUUGAGUCAUAAUCCCAGCAAUUUCGACGAGACGAUAUUAGGAUUGUUCUUGAACGAAGAUGACGGAGUUUGGGGCUGAGCAACUUGAACUUUUUAUUAAUAUAUUUCAAUGUAUCUCGUUGUAUUCAAUGUCCAUUUUUUUCCAUUGUAUUUCAAUGUAUCUCGUUGUAUUCCAUGUAUAUCAUUGUAUUCAC